rnacentral:rRNA from 1 species
AGCGAACGCUGGCGGCAUGCCUAACACGUGCAAGUCGCACGGGGGGGCUCCGGCCUCCCAGUGGCGGACGGGUGAGGAACGCGUAGGGACCUGUCGAGGGGUGGGGGAUAACCGCGGGAAACUGCGGCUAAUACCGCAUGACGCCGCGGCGUGACAGCCGGGGCCAAAGGCGAAAGCCGCCCGCCGAGGGGCCUGCGUCCGAUUAGCUGGUUGGCGGGGUAGCGGCCCACCAAGGCGUCGAUCGGUAGCUGGUCUGAGAGGGUGAUCAGCCACACCGGGACUGAGACACGGCCCGGACUCCUACGGGAGGCAGCAGUGGGGAAUAUUGGACAAUGGGCGCAAGCCUGAUCCAGCAAUGCCGCGUGGGUGAAGAAGGUCUUCGGAUUGUAAAGCCCUUUCGGCGGGGACGAUGGUGACGGUACCCGCAGAAGAAGCCCCGGCUAACUUCGUG